AACCUCUGAGCUAAGCGGGC
rnacentral:tRNA from 2 species